AAAAACAAAUCCUGGUGUUUACAGCAGAUGUGUUACUCAUGAUGGAUAUUAUCAGCUGAGUCCAACAACCAAGACAUCAAGAACAUCUCCACUACAAUGUGAACUCCUGGUUUCCCUGGGAAGACGGGAGAGAGCUGGGUGAAUGCAGUUGAGGAAGCUGCUUACAUCAUCCUCUUUUCUCUUUUCUUUUACAAUGGACAUUAUUUCACUUUCAAAUUCAUCCAUGGCACUUGAUUUUCUUUUUUUCUUUUUAGAUGCAGUGGUGCCCUGGCUGCUGGUGCCUGAUACAGGGACCUGGAGUUUCGGGACCUGGACACCCGGGACCUGGCCGCCCGGGACCUGGCCGCUUGGGACCUGGCCGCCCGGGACCUGGCCGCUUGGGACCUGGCCGCCCUGGACCUGGCCGAUCGGGACCUGGACGCUCGGGACCUGACAGCUGAGGACCUGAGUGCUUAUGAUGGGGACCUGGGACUCAGGGACCUGUCAAGUCAAAUUUAUUUGUCUAUAUCAUAAUACACUUUUCUGAAAGCAGCUUUACAAAUAGUCAUCCUGUUUUUCUACCAUGUCUUGGGCACACACCUGAGUUCUUAAAUGUAAAAAAAAAGUAUUAGACGAAAGUAUACUUUAGUCAAAGUCUAAUUUUUGAUGUCUACCUGGCUGCUGGGGACCUGACUGCUGAUGCUGAGGAUCUGCUGUGGUUCUGACUGGUGGGAAACCUGGAAAUUGCAUUUAACAAUAUGAUUUUCAGUCUUUGAAAAGUCAUAAUUUCUAUAUUUAUAAAAAAAAAAAAAAAAACCUAUCUUUUUUUUAUUAUUAUACAUAUUAUUUUUUUUUUCAUAAGUCACAAUAGGAAACUAUUCUGCACUUGUUCCUGCACCUGUUUGCUUGUGCCUGCACUUGAUUCCUGCCUGAUGGUCAGUUGUUUUUCUUGAAGUAUUUGUGGAUAAUUCCCACAUGUGGGUCUUUCUGCCACAAAUACUUCAAUAAAACUCAUUAUAUCGAAAAACCUCCAUCUUCUUCUGUGUCCUCCUUCACUUCCACUUCUCUUACUGUCUCUUUCUAUCCUUCUCUCUCUCAUGUAGGUGUCUCUGAGCCCACACCUUUUUUUCUUGCAAGUUUCAACUGAAAAAUAAAAGAAUAUUGCCAGGUUCA